rnacentral:lncRNA from 1 species
GCACUUGGGUUUAUCAUCACAAACAAUAGCUACAUCAACGUCGGAUAGAUACACAAUCGAAUCUUUAUCCUCAUCUUUUUCCUUAGACUGCUCCUUCUUUAAAAAUCUGCAUUCUCGUCUUAUGUAACCCGGCUUCUGGCAGUGAAAGAAAAUUACUUCUUUUCUAUCUCUUGACCUUCCCCUGAAUUUGUCAUCUUCAGGAGAGUUUCUCCCUUUGUUUUUGUCCCUACUCUGUGCGACAAAAACUUGUGACUCGACGCUAAUCACCAUAGUAUCUCUUCGCCUCUAUUCCUCGUUAAACAAACUAUCCUUAACUGUAUCCAUAGUCAGCUUUCCAUUAGGAGCGGAGUUACUCAACGAUACAACUAACAUCUCC